rnacentral:rRNA from 1 species
AUUGAACGCUGGCGGCGUGCCUAACACAUGCAAGUCGAGCGGCAGCGCGGGAGCAAUCCUGGCGGCGAGCGGCGAACGGGUGAGUAAUGCUUCGGAAUCUGCCCAUGUAGUGGGGAAUAACCAGCCGAAAGGUUGGCUAAUACCGCAUACGACCUACGGGUGAAAGCAGGGGAUCGUAAGACCUUGCGCUAUUGGAUGAGCCGAAGUCGGAUUAGCUUGUUGGNGAGGUAACGGCUCACCAAGGCGACAAUCCGUAGCUGGUCUGAGAGGACGACCAGCCACACUGGGACUGAGACACGGCCCAGACUCCUACGGGAGGCAGCAGUGGGGAAUAUUGGACAAUGGGGGCAACCCUGAUCCAGCGACGCCGCGUGUGUGAAGAAGGCCUGCGGGUUGUAAAGCACUUUUAGUGGGGAUGAAAAGCUCGAGGGCUAAUACCUCUGGGUCUUGACCUAACCCAAAGAAAAGCACCGGCUAACUCUGUGCCAGCCG